rnacentral:rRNA from 1 species
AUUGAACGCUGGCGGCAUGCCUUACACAUGCAAGUCGAACGGCAGCGGGGGAGAAGCUUGCUUUUCCUGCCGGCGAGUGGCGAACGGGUGAGUAAUACAUCGGAACGUGCCCUGUAGUGGGGGAUAACUAGUCGAAAGAUUAGCCAAUACCGCAUACGCUCUACGGAGGAAAGCCGGGGACCGCAAGGCCUGGCGCUAAUAGAUGAGCCCAAAUCGGAUUAGCUAGUUGGUGAGGUAAUGGCUCACCAAGGCGACGAUCCGUAGCUGGUUUGAGAGAACGACCAGCCACACCGGAACUGAGACACGGUCCGGACUCCUACGGGAGGCAGCAGUGGGGAAUAUUGGACAAUGGGCGAAAGCCUGAUCCAGCGACGCCGCGUGGGUGAAGAAGGCCUGCGGGUUGUAAAGCCCUUUCGGUUGGGAAGAAAAGUAUCGGCUUAAUACGUCGGUACCUUGACGUAACCAACAAAAGAAGCACCGGCUAACUCUGUGCCAGCCGCCGCAGUAA